GCAAACUUGGUCAUUUAGAGGAAGUAAAAGUCGUAACAAGGUUUCCGUAGGUGAACCUGCGGAAGGAUCAUUACAGAGUUUAGGGUCCCUUGCGGGCUCGAACCUCCAACCCCUUUGGUGUUUAUUACCCUGUUGCUUCGGCAGGCCUAAUGUGGUUUGCCUGCCGGAGCCUUAUUAGAUGUAACAAUCUGGUUAUGAAUUCUUGGUCUGAUCUUUCUGAAACACAUAGAAUUGUUAAAACUUUCAACAACGGAUCUCUUGGUUCCCGCAUCGAUGAAGAACGCAGC
rnacentral:misc_RNA from 1 species